rnacentral:rRNA from 1 species
AACGAACGCUGGCGGCGCGCUUAACACAUGCAAGUCGUACGGUCGGACUUCGGUUCGGCAGUGGCGCACGGGUGAGUAACGCGUGGGAACCUGUCUUGAGGUUCGGGACAACCGCGGGAAACUGCGGCUAAUACCGGAUAUGACCUGAGGGUCAAAGGGAAACCGCCUUUGGAGGGGCCCGCGUCCGAUUAGGUAGUUGGUGGGGUAACGGCCUACCAAGCCUGCGAUCGGUAGCCGGUCUGAGAGGAUGAUCGGCCACACUGGGACUGAGACACGGCCCAGACUCCUACGGGAGGCAGCAGUGGGGAAUCUUGGACAAUGGGCGCAAGCCUGAUCCAGCGACGCCGCGUGGGUGACGAAGGCCUUCGGGUUGUAAAGCCCUUUUCCCGGGGACGAUGAUGACGGUACCCGGGGAAUAAGCACCGGCUAACUCCGUGCCAGCAGCCGCCGUAAAAC